AGAUGUGUAUUUGAACUCAAAGAGCUGCUUCCAAUGCUGAUGCAUUGUCCUACCAAAGCUGCAAUGGCAGAAGCCCUGCUCUGGAGGGAUGCUGGAGUUGAGAAGGGCCCAGAAGAUUAAAGAUAAGGACUUUAUUCUUCUUUUACCCUUAAUGUAAAUUUCUCACCUCCCUACAAGAGUGCCUCCUGCCUUCCUGAAGUCACUGGUCCUGCGUUCUCCCAUCUCCAUAUUCCUCUACAGACAAAUCAGUAAUGACAGAGAAACAGACAUGAACCUAGACCGGCAGCUGGAGGGCAGCACUCUGUCUCAUCUUAGACUCGAAUCAAGAAGCCCUGUGGAUCAUGGACAGAAGCCUCUGCAACCUAAGAUUCUCCAUUGUCCUUUCACAUCGAAGACUUCCUGGAACUCCUAGGCAAUCGCCUGAAAAGUAUCAGCAAGUCAUAUCCAUCUUCAGCCUUGGGCCCAGGAUGUCUGCUGCCUGCUCCCAGAAAAGAAGCCAUGUUGGGCGUACAAACUAAAUACAGAACAUGACCAAAAGGCAAAGGAUGUUUCCAAAAGGGAAACUGCAAACUGAGACAAUAGUUUUGCAGAUCAAUAGGAAGCCUUUAAAGGCCCACUGAUGAGCUGGCCUACAGGGAUGCUAGUCUUCUGUAAGAGGAAGAGAAAACGAAUCAAUACGAUGUGAAACUGAUAUUAAAUGGCUGCGAUUCACCCCCA
rnacentral:lncRNA from 1 species